UCUCUCUCCCUCUCUCUCGGCCGAAUAACCCCACCACUGCCGUUCACCCACCAGCACCCUCACGCCACCAUCCUUGAGCCCCGUAGAUCGCCGUGUGCCGCUCACCGCCGUUUGCCGCUUGCCGUGUCAAGCUGAGGCCACCACGGACAACUCGUGUCAUUGCCGUCGUCCUCGCGUUGUCAUCGUUUUUAGACGAGCCCUUAGCAUGUUGAUGCACCCAGUAUGGUUCGGGGUGCCUGGAAGCUGACUUUUGGUGAAGUAGAUUAACCCUAGCCUGAUAUCUUUUUGUAGACUUUUAUGGAAAUGCCCGAAGUGGGCUUGUAAAAAUGUUCCCAGGGGUUAAUCAAGUGAAUGUUAAAAUGGUGUUUUGAUUUCGAUGUUGUAAACCGUUUUUCUAUCUAUCCUUGUUUAUUGUUAUUG